CAGCCGCCACGGUAAUACGUAGGUGGCAAGCGUUGUCCGGAAUUAUUGGGCGUAAAGGGCUCGCAGGCGGUUUCUUAAGUCUGAUGUGAAAGCCCCCGGCUCAACCGGGGAGGGUCAUUGGAAACUGGGAAACUUGAGUGCAGAAGAGGAGAGUGGAAUUCCACGUGUAGCGGUGAAAUGCGUAGAGAUGUGGAGGAACACCAGUGGCGAAGGCGACUCUCUGGUCUGUAACUGACGCUGAGGAGCGAAAGCGUGGGGAGCGAACAGGAUUAGAUACCCGUGUAGUCCCUGUCUCUUAUAA
rnacentral:rRNA from 1 species